UACGUAGGGGGCAAGCGUUGUCCGGAUUUACUGGGCGUAAAGGGCGCGUAGGCGGCUUGAUUUGUCGGGGGUGAAAACUCUGGGCUUAACCCAGAGGGGUCUCUCGAAACGGUCGGGCUUUGAGGGCGGUAGAGGAUGGUGGAAUUCCGGGUGUAGUGGUGAAAUGCGUAGAGAUCCGGAGGAACACCAGUGGCGAAGGCGGCCAUCUGGGCCGGCCCUGACGCUGAGGCGCGAAAGCGUGGGGAGCGAACUG
rnacentral:rRNA from 1 species